rfam:Ovis aries breed Texel chromosome 12, whole genome shotgun sequence.
UCCUUGGCAGUCCAGUGGUUAAGACUCUGUGCUUCCAAUGCAGGGCACGCAGGUUCAAUCUCUGCUUGGGGAA